GGAAGGGAGCAGGCCCUGCAGUCCUCACCCAGCCGAUGGUCCGAGGCUUCCCCGCAACAGGAUUCUGAAUUGAUUUUAAAAUGAAUUGAUUUUAGAAUGCUGUGUUACUUUUAUUGUUGUUAGCCGCUCUGAGCCUGGCUUCGACUGGUGAGGGCAGGAUAUAAAUAAAAUGUUGUUGUUGUUGUUGUUGUAUAAAUAAAAUGUUGUUGUUGUUGUUGUUGUUGUUGUUGUUGUUGUUGUUGUUGUUGUUAUUCAAAAAGUGAACUCCUAUUCACAUGGAGGAAGCCUAAAAGGCCAUUCACUCUUAAUAACCCAUUCUCGAAUUGCCCCCCUUAAAAAUCAAAUUACCCCACACAUUCCUCUUUAUCUUCCAGGCAUUCCUGGAGUUCAAGGACACAACCCAGCCAGGCAAAAACACUCAAGGAGGAUGCAAAGCAAGACCACGAGGAGUGUGGCUGAGAAGACUCUCAAGGGCCAGCAUUCAGCCCCUGCACCUGAGAUUCCUCUCCCCUGCUCUAUGUUUUUAAAGAGCAGCUCCAGAUUGUCUCUGCUUUCAGGUGGGAUUUAGUAACAUGCCAGAGAAAUCCAAGUUGCACAGUUACAGUUGAUUGGGAGGUCCUGUACAACAGACCUGUGUCCCCAAAAGAUUCCCCCCCCCCUUUUGCAAUAAGUGACAG